GCCUGUCUAGCUCAGUCGGUAGAGCGUAAGGUUUUUAACCUUGUGGUUGUGGGUUCGAGCCCCAUAGUGAGCG